rnacentral:lncRNA from 1 species
GAUUUGUGUCUAAAAUCAAGCAAUCAUAAUUAAGGAGUUUUAAGAUUUGAAUUUACAACUCUUAUCUUAUCAAAUUGUUGAACAUCAUCAUCUUCUUUAAUUUAUUUUUGAGGUAAGUUUAAUUUCUUAAUUUUUUUAACUUUACUAAAUCAAACAUCUACAAAUUACUUAUUGUAUGUGCGUAAUUCCCAAAAUUUAAGCAUAGUAAUAGAGUCUGGUCUAAUUUUAGAGAAAAUAGAUCGAAACACCAAAACGAUCCCGCCAAGAUAAAGAAGUCGAGGGAAGUUGGUCGUACAAAUUCUAAAAAGCUCGUUGCUAAAUCUUCAAGUAAGAUAAAAAAUAAAGAAUCAUCACGAUUGCAUCUUCAAAAGGUACAGUGAUUUGUUGCUGAAUCUAUAUUUUUUAUCGAUUUACGCAUUCUUAUACAUUGUUAUAUAAGAGCGUUUUGUUGUUAUUUCAACCUAAUACAUACAUUAGUUAUGUAUAGUGUUAGAGACACCUUCUUAUACAUUAAAUUUUUUAUGAAUAUGGUCAUAUUACUUCGUAAAUUCAAGUUGUUAUUUUGAACUAAGAUACAUAGUGAGUUAUGUAUAUAUUUGUCGUUAUGUCAUUUGUUAGACGUUUUAUUUCAACCAAUAUACAUAAAUCUGUUAUGUAUAUGUAUUGAAACAGACACUGCUGGGCUAUUUAAUUUCAGGUCAUAUACUUUAUAGAGUUCUGAAUAUGUUAUGCAUCAAUAAUGUUAUACAUAGCACAGUUAUGUAUGGCUCUGUUAGACAAAAUGAGUUGUGUGUAUUUCAGUCCAUAUACAUAGCAGUGUUUUGUAUAUGAAAGAACGUUAGGCAUGUAGAUGAUGAGUUAUCUUUAUGUUUUCAAGUUUUGUUUCAUAUUGUUAUGUAUAUGUGAUGCCUGAGAUGUGUAUUUUGCAAACCCAUAUGUAUGAGAGUUGGGGUCCAAUGCUGUCAUGUUCUUCAAAUCUUAUAAGAAUUCAUUUUUUUUAUUUCAAAUUUUUCAUACUUACGUUGUAAAAUUUUCUUUAUUUGUAGACUAGGUAGUACAAUUUUUUGUAGACCUACGUAAUAAAAUUUUCUUUAUACGAGUCUUUUUUAACAAAAAAAAUUUAUGUCUCUUUAUUUUAUAAGUAUCUUUUUUCUUCGGUUCUAAAAUUUUCUAAGUGCUUUAUGUAGUAAAUUUUCUUUAGGAGUAUAUUUUUUUAGAAAAUUUACAUAAUUAAAAGAUUCAUUAAUCAUACAUUAACAAGAUAUAAUAUUGAAUAAUUAUUAAACUUGAUUUAUUUUAUUAAAUAUCAUUUUAGAUAAUUAUUAGCCUUGAUUUAUUUCUUUAAAUAUCAUUUUGGAUAACUAUUAGACUUGAUUUAUUUUCUUAAAUAUCGUUAACGAAGUUAGCUAUGAUACAUAAAAUACUUAUGUAUAUUAACGUUCAGUAAUGUAUAUAUGAACAAUUAAAAUUUGAGAGAGAAAAAAUUUUAUUAAAAAACCGAGAAAGAAGGUACUUAAUAAGCAAACUAGUGGAAUUUAUGAAAAUUGUCCAUAAAAAAAUGGCAUUAAUAAAGGUGGUAGGUGAUCCUAAUUAUAUGAACCAAUUUGAUGUUUAUGAGAUUAUUUGGAUAAAUUCGGUGAAAUUUUUUUUGGAAUUGGAUAAGUUCUUAACAAAAUAAUAUGUUUGUGAGCAAAGGAAGUUAUAAUCAAAGUUUACUUGUAUUUACAUAUAUCGAGUUAUGAAAACAUGGUGUUUUUGAGAUUACUAAAAUUGUUCGAAUUUUAAUUAUAUGUUUAUAACUACUGGCAUUGCUAAGUUACAAAAAUAUUAUUCACCUGCUUCAAGGAAGUUAAAAAAAUGAGGGUUAUAGUGUCUUACUGAGAUGUCAAAGAUUUUUAUUUUUUUUUUCAAAAAAGUAAUGUUUUAGUUGGUCUUAUUAUUCAAAAUGGUUUUAAAAAUUAAGAUGAAAAUUUUGAUAUAUUUUAAUGUAAAAAUUUGUAUAUUACAUACGAAAUUGAAUCCUUUAUAAAUUGUGAUAAAUCUAUUCUCCUAGUUUGAAAUAUUUGAAAGUAUGGGAUAAUCUAGCUAAAGUUGUGCUAUGUGGUUCCAAUAAAAGAAUAAUUGGAUCUAAGUUUUUAUUUUUUUGUAUGUCUAUAUUAUGAUGAGAUUGAAUGCAAUGUUUUAUAGUGAAAAAAAAUUAUUGUUGAGUUUGUAGAAGAAUAUUUUAUAUUUUUGUUGAUGAUAAUAUGGAUAUUAAGUAUUGUGAAUUUUCUAUUGUAUUUGAAGUAUACAAUGAUGCAAUGUGAAUCCUAAAAUUAUUAGUGAUUAUUUGUUUAUUAUUGAUGUGGGAUUUCAUAACGUGAAAAUCAACAAAAUAGAGUAAGUUGAUCUUUUGAAGUUUGUUAGAGAUGAGGCUAAGUAGUUAAGACAACUCUUUGUGAGUAUUCCAAGUGGAACAAAACCAACAUCUUUUAUGUUUAUAUGUAUUGUGGUUGGCAGGCAAUAAAGUUGAAGUGUAAAUAAACUUUUCAAUGGUAAUAGAACACGUGUUUGAGACAUAAUGUGAUAAAGUAGUUGUAAUAGAUGAAAUUAUUUACGUACAUAAAUUAUAUAUAGUCAGAGACAAAUUUGAUCAAUUCAAAGACUGAAAAAAAAUAUCGAGGGGGAGUGAAAUGUUUAGUCAAUUUGAGAAGAUUAACAAUGAUGGUAACUCAAUCGAUGUGAUUGGAGAUCUCAUGAAUUAAGUUCAUAUGGUAAUAACAAGUCAUUAGUUUAUCAAGUAUGCACUACAAAAUAAUGUCUUUCCUAUGAUGUGUGAAUCUAGUGCAGUGUUGCAAGGCAAAGUGAGGGUUAACUUAUACUCUUAAUUCAAAUCAUAUUCUUUAUAGUUGGAGUACUACUCUGCAGAAUACACUUGAUGAUAGGACAUAUGAGUGUGGAGCGGUGUCACUUCUAUGAAAUUUUGACAAAUUUUUAGAGCAUUCAUGAAUACGAGGAGAUACACAAAUCUCUUAGCACAAAAUCGCGAUAAUGACAAAGAUUGUAUGAGUACUGCUAUAUGCAGUUUUGAUGUGAGAAGCUAAACUUUAAGGGACCAGGUCCCUGGACGUGCAAAGUACUGUAUAGCUGGCACACGAUAUCUAUAUAGUUUUGUCAUCUUGUGUACUAAUCUGAUGAUAUUUCAUCCCUAAUCAUCACACAUCUAUAAAAGAAAAGAUACGUCUUUUCAACAAUCAUUUUUGCCAAUUCUAAAUAGAGAAAAGUGAGGCAGCAAAAACUCCAUUUCAAGACUGCUCAAGCAUUGCUCAUGUUCUUAACUUUGUACUUUGCUUAAAUAAUGAGUGAGUGCUUUUGAGUGUUGAUUUGUAAAAUAAUUACUCAAAGCUAUAAGAGUAACGUCUUGUUUUUCAUUGAGAGUGCUGCUUAGGUAGAGUUGUCUAAGCUUAAGACUGAUUAGAGCUAAUCAGUUUAGAGAGAGUCCUUGGUAGAGUUACCGGAAUGAGAUGGUAGUAGAGUUGCUGCUAGCACAAAGAGCCUAGAGUUGGCUAAAAUCUAGACUGUAAUCAGGAGGUUGAUUAUAGUGGAUUUUGUUGGUACUUGUAAGGGCAAGCCAUGAUUUUUCCCAUCCUAAAUUUCCACGUAAAAAUUCUUGUGUCUUUUACUCUUUCUGCACUAUCUUUAGUUUUCGUGCACUUAUUGUUUGAUCGUCUGUGAUUGAUUCUGAGGGACCUGGUCCCUUACUGUGUAGAGCAACCCCAAAGGUUUCAUCAAUUGGUAUUAGAGCCUGGUCACUUGUAACACCCCAAGUUUGUACCCCGGACGCUACAUGGUGUUCAUAAUCUCGAAGGACCACAAGCUAACCCAUGAUUGAUACCUGCUGCAGUAACUGAAUAAUAUCACUGUAAAGUAUGCGAAAAUUAGGUGGAAACUGGACAUAAGGUACAAUACUAUAAAUAAAUACUGUAUACUGAAAUCUGAAUACGGUAUAAUAAUACCAAAACUUAAUCAUCUGUUUGAAAAAUACUCUAGUCUGAAAAGGCUCUACUAUCUGAAUCAUGGAGCUGAUGGGACAAGUCCCCAACUAACUCCAACUACUAAAAAUUGUACUGAUAAACUGAAAUACUGAAGAAAAUAAUCAUGUUCGCAAACUAUGAGGACUCACCACUAACUCUGACUACUGAAGAUUUGAACUGCUAAAGGUGCUCGGGAGCCCAUGCGUUUGAACCUAUGAUAUAAGACAUUAUAGCGUAAAAGAAAGGUAUGCGUCAGUACUUUGAAUGUACCGGUAUUCUAAGUGAGGUAGGCUGAGAUCCAUGGGUUUAUAUACAUAAACAAUACUGACUGAAAGACAUGAAUAUAACUGAACGAGAGUACAUGCAUGAGUACGUAAACCAUAACUGAGAUCGUGAUAACACUGGAUACUGAGUUCUUAAUACUGAUUAAUUAAUAUCUGAGUUUACUGAUAUUGUAUUACUAAUAACUGAAUGAUUGUAUCUGACAGUCUUAAUAUUGUGGAACUAUGUUGAGUUCCGUACUGAGCUGAGUGACUUUGUCUGACAAUCAUGAAUCUGUAGAACUGAACUGAGUUCUAUACUGAGACUAAAUCUGAAACUGAGACUGUGGGAAGUAAUCAUCUAACCAACAUGCCCCAAAUAAGAUAAUUGAGUUGGGGUCCAAUCUGUAACCCCAAUUGAAAGGGUAUCAGUACCAUGACACAGGUAAAGACGACUAGUUGUGGGGUCAGUCCUAGUCUAACGGGUGAUCCCUGAGUAUUUCAGUCCUAUCUAACGGGUGACAUCUCAUAACCUAUGCUAGAUACGUAGUUCUGGAACUUAGGGAUUACUUCUAGGGACCUAUUCCUAGCUAACGGGUGAGCCCCCAUCCCUUGGCUCGCUUGGUGCUGAAUCCUACUCCCAACUGAAAGACACUGAAAUUAUUCCUAGACUAUACUAGGCUUGAUUGAACUGUUCUUGAUCGUACUGUUUAACUAAACUGAACUAAGUUCACUGAGUUCCGUUGACUGACGGAAUACUACUGG